UACGUAGGAGACGAGCGUUGGCCGGAGUUACUGGGCGUAAAGGGUGCGCAGGUGGCGGCGCGCGUGGGGGGUGAAAUCGCCCGGCUUAACUGGGCGGGGGCCUUCCAGACGGCGUGGCUUGAGCAGCGGAGGGGGACGUGGAAUUCCGGGUGGAGCGGUGAAAUGCGUAGAGAUCCGGAGGAACACCGACGGCGUAGGCAGCGCCCUAGACGAGACCUGACGCUCAGGCACGAAAGCUAGGGGAGCGAACAGG
rnacentral:rRNA from 1 species